UCUGAUACCCCUCACAAGGAAAUAUUAAAGAAAAAGAUUUAAUGGUAUCACAAGUUUGGAAGCUCCCUGAUGGUGAAAAGGUAAUAAUUCCUUUUGAUGGAGUUGUACCAAUGGGAACAAAAGUUGAUGGCUUAAUUGAUGGAGUUGUACCAAGUAGGUAAUUGGCAAAAAAAAAACCUACUUGCUUCUUCCCGUGGUUUCCGGCUGCCGUCGUCGCCACUGAACCUAUUGCUCCUUUUUCCUUCAGUCAUAGAGGUAGGAGCUCACCCCUAUCACCGGCCAGCUGUUCCAGUGUUUGUGCAUCGAUGCCCGAUCCCUAAGGACCUACUGUUUCGCCAAACCAUGGCUUUCUCCCUUGUACGAACGCUCAACCCUAUCCUGCCUCUACCGUGUAGGCUCUGCAACAUCCCUCUACUCCUUCCCUGAGCGGUCAUGCCUUCUUUCCUAUAGCUGCGUGGGUCAUGCUUCGUAGGUACCUUGAGGCUCCCAAAACCAGUUGGUUUUCCUGCUUUACAGUUAACUCUCUUUCAGCUACCCCUCACAAUGGCAGAUAUGAGUGGACAAUUGAAUCCAGUACGUAGUCUUUGUCCUGGGAAGAAUACUUAGAGAAUCAGAGUCAGGGUUCUUCACUUGUGCAUUUUCCCUCCACAUUGUUCUAAUUGAUGCUGAGGGGUAAAAAAUCAAGGCAGAGUAAUGGCUGAAAUGGCUGGACCCACUAACUCUAUUAGGAGCUUUUAUUCUGUGAGAGACACGUGAAAGGCAGCUCCAUCAUUUCCGAGUUCAUUUCCUUUCCUAUUUUCUGGAAAAGGAAAACUCCAUUGUUUGAUUCCUUGUGCAAUUGAUCAGGUAUUGUCUUUGAUUAUUUUAAAUGCAACUUUUCAGGUUGAUUUCAUUUGAACGUGAACCUUUCUGGCAAUGGUGAUAUGUCAUUCCUGUGUUUCGGUAAACUUCCUUAUUCAUUUUUGGGGUCUGAAUUAUGUUCAAAAUUCUCUUCAUAUGUAUAGAUAUCGAGAGGAAAGGAAAGACAUAAAAAGAUCUAUUCCAAAUAUUUUCAUUUCUUGUCUUAGCCUUACAUGUUAUAUAACUUCACGGUAUUGUUAGAUAAGGAUCAGAUUGAGUGAGUCAUCUUUUAUCCCUGAAACUUUCAUUUGCUGGUGUAUAAACACUAAAAUAUAGCAUAUGGAAAACAUAGAAAAUGCUGUAAAAAUUCACGCUAAAGAUUUAUCAAAUUUAUUUUCUUGAUGGUUUCUGUCAACAAUAUUCAAGUUUUAUUAGGAUCCACUCUUCUAUGAUAGCAUUUUUUACUCUUUGGGGCCAAAACCAGGGUAAAUGUUCAUAUACAAAAUUCUGAAUGAUUAGCCCCAAAGAAAAAUCUGAAUGAUAAAAUUCCAAGAAGAAAUCAAUUUUGGUGAGAUUGAAUUUGAGUAAUGAAAAUUUUGAAAGUUGAAAUAAUAUACAGAUAAAGAUCGGGAAGAUUAGGGGAAAAGAGAAGAUUUUGAGAGAUUUGAGAGAAAAUUAAGCUAUUUUCUUCCCUAACCUCACCUGUAAAAAAAAACGUUCCCUAACCUCCACUAACUUACACUUUGUUUGAUAGACCUUAAUGAUAGGUAGUCAAAUCCUAUCAGUAACCUUCAUCAUUAAAUAGUAAUGUAGAGACAAAAACUGGAUGCAGUUGUCCCUCUUGAGUAGUUAUGUAUUGGGGGCUGUUCAAGUUCAUUUUGACAGAUGAAUACAAGAUUGAUUUGCAAUGCAUUAGAUCCUAGGUGAAACCAAGCCAACUUCAACAGUUAGCUCCCGAUUAUAACAUGAACAAACAGGCAUUUAUAACUAUAUGUUCAAGAUUUUGUUUGAAGAUAUUAACUGAUCUAGCACAUACUACUAGAAAUUAAUUAGUAUAAUUCCUUCUUUUAAGAAAGGAUCAACACACUUACUAACAUAAUAUAAUAUGAUAAAAUGUUUUUGGAUGUUAGAUGGCGGCUAUCUUCAUAGAAUGCUAAUUAGUAGAACACAACUUGAAUGUGAGGAAAAUGAAGGUUGAAAUGGAAAGGAUAAAAGAGGGCAUUUUACAAGUGGAUUUGUUUUGAUGCUGAAAUAAAAACAAUUGAGCUUCAUAAUCAUUUAUUAAUUGUGGAGAUACAAUCAUUCAUAACAAUCUAAUUAAUUAGUUAGUUGCAUGAUAAAGAGGACAAUAUAUCAAUCAGCAACCAAACUUUGGUAAAACGGAGUCAAAUAAAAGAGAUGAAGUAUUACAAAUGAUCAUGUCAAUUUGAUGCUGAUUUGUUGGCUGAAACAGUUACAAUGAGAAAGCAAUGAAAACAGCUUUUAAAGUAGAUGAAGCCAUCAAAAGUACAUUGGGGAGAAAAAGGAUAGCUAUGUCAAGACUUGAAAAAUCAACCAUUGUUAUGGUUCUAAUACAAAAUGAACCUACCAAAGUUGAUAGUGAGUCCACUGCAUUGGCUGUGCUCUUUUCAGUGUAUAACUAUCAAGAGGAAAAACAUGACUGAAUGGUUGUCAUUAAAAUUUAAAACAACAAUGAUCGCUAGUAGUUUAAUAUCAUGCACUUUCUUUACUGAUCUUUAAUAAUAUUUUACCUAAUCAUUUUCUCUUCUUCAUAAAGCUUAAAGUUUUCCAUUUGUUAUGUUAUUGACCCCUUCUUCUAAGUUGACAGUGAUUUUGAUGAGAAUAGAUUAUGUUCAUUUGUCUGCUCGGUGUCCACUAUUCUUUAAGAUCACUAAUACAAGUAUAAUUUGUAAUAGAUAAAUCAUAAAUUUUUCAUCAAAAUAAAAAAAAGUAAAUGAAAGCAAGUCUAGCACAUCAUUUCCUGGAUGAAGACAGACUCUCUGGCUUCAUUCUGCUUACUCUGUGAUGUGUUUGCAAAUAUUAACCUGUAGAUAUGUAUUUACUAUACUUGAUCAUUAUUACUAUGAUUUUGUUGUUGAUAGAAUGAUGUUUGCAACACUUGGUCAUUAGCGAACCAAUACAUGCUGAAGGGAAGUGGAAAAUCCCAGAUGAAACAUAUAUCAAUACCUUAAAAAAAGGUCUGUAUAGGGGAAAAGAAGUCAUUGGAAUACAACCAGCUUAUUAUAAGAAGUAUUUGCAAAUUAUGAUCAAAAGCGGAAGAAACCAGUCAGUAUAUUGCCUCUGACAUCGUCAAGGGAUUCUAAUAGAAGUCAAAUUACUGCUUCCCAGUGAAAGUUUGAGGAUUUGAAAGUUGCUAUCGGUGGAUUACCUAAACAAUCAAUUGUAUAACUUCCAAUUUUUUUUCACAUGUAUUUUCACAGAUUAUUGAAAGCUCCCUUCCCCGAAAAUUUCCAUGUUUAACUUAGUAUAAUAGUAUUUAUUAUUCAUCCUAGGAGUUUGAUUUAACAGGUGGAAUAGAAAAGCAAAAUUAAUGACAUUGGUGGGGGUA